rnacentral:rRNA from 1 species
UAAGACAGAGGGUGCAAACGUUGUUCGGAAUUACUGGGCGUAAAGCGCGUGUAGGCGGCCCUGCAAGUCGGGUGUGAAAUCCCACGGCUCAACCGUGGAAGUGCACUCGAAACUGCAGGGCUAGAGUCCUGGAGAGGAAGGUGGAAUGCUUGGUGUAGAGGUGAAAUUCGUAGAUAUCAAGCGGAACACCGGUGGCGAAGGCGGCCUUCUGGACAGUGACUGACGCUGAGACGCGAAAGCGUGGGGAGCAAACAGG